CCGAUGGCACCUGUGAAACCUAGAAGGGGUCGUUCCAAAUAUAGUGUAAUGAGGAGCCUCUCCUACUCUCCACCCUCGAGCCUGAAAAAUGGACAAGAUCUGGACUCCUGUGCUCCUCCUGAAGGCGUGACUAUGGAAACGGAGAACAGAGAUCCUCAAGAAGUAGAGUGGGAAUCUGAGAGCCGAGAACCACCAGGAACAGCCCUAAAGCACAGAAACCAACCUUUUGUCAUGCUUCACAAAACGGCUGGACCAGAAAUGAUGGCAUCAGGAAAGAGAAAAAGAGUGCAUACCCCAUGGAAGACAACCACUCUAUCAUGCUGUGGUUUAUUUUUUAUUUCAUUUGGACCCCACCUUUCUCCUAGGAGUUCAGGGAAGCGCCCGUGGGCACAAUUCUAUCCUCACGAUCACCCUGCGAGGUUGGCUAGGCCAAGAGAUGCCAAAUGGACCAAGGCCGCCCAGUGAAUUUCAGGGCUGAGUGAGGAUUCACGCCUGGGUGUCCCUGCUAUCCCUAGGCACGUUCCAGAUGACACGCUGCCACAGGGGUAAAAUGCUUUGGCUUGGCCGGAUAGAAUUGAAAACGACCCCCAGAAUCUCAAACUCUUACAACUGGAAAAUAUAGCUAUUUUUCUGCAACGGACUUGCAACGUUGUAGCACUAUAGCACAAAGAUAAAAUCCGAAAGGUGGCAUCGGAAAUGUGAAUAGCACCUUGCUGUCAGCGCAGGGACUGCGGUUUCAUAACACAGGAAGUAUGGACACACACUUUGUGGAUUCGUAGCAAUACUCUGUGCUGGUCAGUGAUUGUAAUAAAGGAAUUGAUUGACUGAU